GGGCACAUCUCUAGCUGAUGUGACCACCAAAGGCAAGGUGGCCACAUGCUAGAUGGUACCUCUGGGACUGCAGCAAGGGUCAUCUUCCGCCAAACACCAAGGCUGUGGUGGGGAGAGUAAAGAGCCAACAAACCAGCCAAUGCAGGUGUGUGGCAUACAUCACCCCAGAAGUCUCUUCCCUUCAUCUUUCUCGGCAGUCCCUGUUCCUAGGCCUCAAAGAAUCACUUGUGAUGAUACGAAAAAGUAUGUUGAGUUCUUUGGAGGAAACCUGAGCCCUGCUGUCACCAUCUACUUCUUU